rnacentral:rRNA from 1 species
UGGGGAAUAUUGCACAAUGGGCGCAAGCCUGAUGCAGCCAUGCCGCGUGUGUGAAGAAGGCCUUCGGGUUGUAAAGCACUUUCAGCGAGGAGGAAAGUGGUGAGCUUAAUACGCUCAUCAAUUGACGUUACUCGCAGAAGAAGCACCGGCUAACUCCGUGCCAGCAGCCGCGGUAAUACGGAGGGUGCAAGCGUUAAUCGGAAUUACUGGGCGUAAAGCGCACGCAGGCGGUUUGUUAAGUCAGAUGUGAAAUCCCCGGGCUCAACCUGGGAACUGCAUUUGAAACUGGCAAGCUAGAGUCUCGUAGAGGGGGGUAGAAUUCCAGGUGUAGCGGUGAAAUGCGUAGAGAUCUGGAGGAAUACCGGUGGCGAAGGCGGCCCCCUGGACGAAGACUGACGCUCAGGUGCGAAAGCGUGGGGCAGCAAACAGGAUUAGAUACCCUGGUAGUCCAGCGCUGUAAACGAUGUCGAUCUGGAGGUUGUGCCCUUGAGGCGUGGCUUCCGGAGCUAACGCGUUAAAAUCGACCGCCUGGGGAGUACGGCCGCAAGGUUAAAACUCAAAGGAAUUGACGGGGUCAUAGCUGUUUCCUG